AACAUAAACCUAAACCUAAAACCUAAAUGUAUUCUCAAAUCCUUAAACCUAAACCUACACCUAAUCCUAAUCUCAACUCCCUAAAGAUUUCAAAAUUUUCGACCAUUGGAUUGAGUAUGCUUUCGAUUGUAUUACAGGGUAUGGGCCCCACCAGAAUCGAAUAAUCAGAUCAUCUCGCGGCAGAGGAAAGAGCAGGAGCUAUUGGUGGUCUCUGAGGAAUGUGAGACGAAGAGGAUCUUUGGACAAUACAAUUUCCAUGCUUCAGAUGGAGCUGGCUGCUGCUUGGAGUUCUCAGGAGAUGGUGGGCCUUAGCAAUUCUCCUGUAGCCUUGGACUCUCGUGAGGCCACGAGGAAGAAGGCAUUCAUUGUGAUUGGAAUUAAUACCGCCUUUAGCAGCAGGAAAAGACGGGAUUCAAUCAGAGAGACUUGGAUGCCUCAAGGAGAAAAGCUCCAACAACUCGAGCGAGAGAAGGGAAUUGUCGUUUGGUUCAUGAUUGGCCACAGGUACAUCUUAAUUAAUGCCAAGACCGUAAUCUCAAGCCUUUAUAUUUGUUGAUUUUUUUAUAGUCCUUAAUGUUACUUUGCUCUUUUCAUGGGACUGCACUCUCUGUUUUAUUUAUUUGUGAAAUGAAAACGUACAUCCAGAGAGAGGGAACGAA